rnacentral:rRNA from 1 species
AACCGACACAGGUAGGCGAGAAGAGUAUUCUAAGGCGCGCGGAAGAACUCUCGUUAAGGAACUCGGCAAAAUGACCCCGUAACUUCGGGAGAAGGGGUGCCCCGGUAGUGUGAAUAGCACGAGGGGGCCGCAGUGAAAAGGCCCAAGCGACUGUUUAGCAAAAACACAGGUCUGUGCGAAGCCGUAAGGCGAAGUAUACGGGCUGACGCCUGCCCGGUGCUGGAAGGUUAAGGGGAGUGGUUAGGAGCAAUCCGAAGCUGUGAACCGAAGCCCCAGUAAACGGCGGCCGUAACUAUAACGGUCCUAAG